ACUGAACGCUGGCGGCAGGCCUAACACACGCAAGUCGAACGGCAGCACAGAAGAGCUUGCUCUUUGGGUGGCGAGUGGCGGACGGGUGAGUAAUGUCUGGGAAACUGCCCGAUGGAGGGGGAUAACUACUGGAAACGGUAGCUAAUACCGCAUAACGUCGCAAGACCAAAGUGGGGGACCUUCGGGCCUCACACCAUCGGAUGUGCCCAGAUGGGAGUAGCUAGUAGGUGGGGUAAUGGCUCACCUAGGCGACGAUCCCUAGCUGGUAUGAGAGGAUGACCAGCCACACUGGAACGGAGAAACGGUCCAGACUCCCAGCGUCGGCCGCAGUGGGGAAUAUUGCACUAGGGGCACAAGCCUGAUGCAGCCAUGCCGCGUGUAUGAAGAAGGCAUUCGGGUUGUAAAGUACUUUCAGCCGGGAGGAAGGCGGUGAGGUUAAUAGCCUUGCCGAUUGACGUUACCCGCAGAAGAAGCACCGGCUAACUCCGUGCCAGCCGCCGCAGUAA
rnacentral:rRNA from 1 species